rfam:Triticum aestivum genome assembly, contig: Triticum_aestivum_CS42_TGACv1_scaffold_222929_3B
AAACUACUCCCUCCGUUCGGAAUUACUUGUCACAAAAAUGGAUAAAAAUGGAUAUAUCUACAACUAAAAUACAUCUAGAUACAUUUAUUUCUCGGGCGAGUAAUUCCGAACGGAGGGAGUAGACA